rnacentral:rRNA from 1 species
CGCUGGCGGUCUGCUUACACAUGCAAGUCGAACGCAACCUUCGGGUUGAGUGGCGGACGGGCGAGUAACGCGUGAGAAUCUGCCUUGGGGUCGGGGACAACCACUGGAAACGGUGGCUAAUACCGGAUAAGCCUUUGGGUAAAAAAUUUAUUGCCCCAAGAGGAGCUCGCGUCUGAUUAGCUAGUUGGUGAGGUAAAAGCUCACCAAGGCAGCGAUCAGUAGCUGGUCUGAGAGGACGAUCAGCCACACUGGGACUGAGACACGGCCCAGACUCCUACGGGAGGCAGCAGUGGGGAAUUUUCCGCAAUGGGCGAAAGCCUGACGGAGCAAGACCGCGUGAGGGAGGAAGGCUCUUGGGUUGUAAACCUCUUUUCUCAGGGAAGAAGCUCUGACGGUACCUGAGGAAUCAGCCUCGGCUAACUCCGUGCCAGCAGCCGCGGUAAUACGGAGGAGGCAAGCGCUAUCCGGAAUUAUUGGGCGUAAAGCGUCCGCAGGUGGCGAUUCAAGUCUGCUGUCAAAGCACGGGGCUUAACUCCGUUAAGGCAGUGGAAACUGAAUAGCUAGAGUGCCGUAGGGGUAGAGGGAAUUCCCGGUGUAGCGGUGAAAUGCGUAGAGAUCGGGAAGAACAUCGGUGGCGAAAGCGCUCUACUGGACGGCAACUGACACUCAGGGACGAAAGCUAAGGGAGCGAAUGGGAUUAGAUACCCCAGUAGACCUAGCUGUAAACGAUGGAUACUAGGUGU